rnacentral:lncRNA from 1 species
GCUAUAUUUUCUAUAAAACUUGAUUACUAGUUUUAAAUAUAUGUAAGCAAAGAUUUAUUACUUGUUAGCUAGUACAGUUUAUGACUGAUGAAUGACAAAACUGAUGUUGGUUUGUUAAAAAAAUUUUCUUAGUCUAAAGCUGUUGAACCUUGUUAGAUUUUAGAGAACGUAAAAUAUUCCUAAGGGUAUUUUGGAACUUCAAGACUAAACACUCAAUUUAAAAAAAAAAAAAAAGGGUUUAAAAAGCUUUGAAACUAACCUUGUCUUACCCAGUUAAGAUGGACUCUUAAGCCCUAGCAUAUGAGAACUAAUACCCAUGUUGUGAAUUUUUUCCUUUCAAAAAUGUAAAGCUUUUUUGCUAAUUUUUGUGAUCUGUAAUAUUGACUAUUUUUUCACUAUAUAUAGAGAGCUGUUGUAGAAUUCUAUGUUUUUAAAAUUUUUUAAUUUAAAAAAGUAAAAAUUAUUUUACGUGAAAAGGUGUUUGGGGGAGUAUGUGUGUGCUUGCAUCACAUGUGUGCCUGGUGCCAUUGUUGGCCAGAAGAGAGUGUUGAGUUCCUUGAAAGAGUUAUAUGUCUGUUAGCCUCCAUAUGGGUACUGGGAAUUAAACCAAGAACCUCUGGAAGAGCAGCAGCCAGUACUCCUAACUUUGAGUUGUUUCUCCAGGACUCCUGUGUUUUUGUUUUUAAAGACAGUAAUGUGUGUAAAUUUAUUCUUUUGAGGGCCUGAUUGUGGCAUGGAUGUUUAAAGAGAAGAAACCAGAAUCUUCCUAUUUUGACAUACAAUUAAGGUCUGCUUGUUAGAGUAUUUAAAAUUGAAUUUGAUUGCUGAGUUCAAGAAAUGAUUUAUGAAGCUGGAGAAGAGAGAGAUAGAGUCUGAUGAGAGCACUGUUCUUUCGGAGGACCUAGUCAGUUCCCUGCACCUGCAUGGCAGCUCACAGCCAUCUGUAUAUAACUUUAGUCACAGGGGAUCUGACACCCUAUGGUACCAGGCAUACAUGUGGUGUACAGAAGUAUGUGCAGGUGAACACUCGUAAACACAGAGUGAACUUAAAGAAGAAAAAGGGAAAAAAAAAGAAAAAAGAAAGGAAAACAACAACUAGCCAGGCUUUUACCAAGGUAGUGCAUGACUGUGGUAGUGAGAACCCAAGGAGAUCAUUAAACUUGAGGAUAGGCUAGAUCUGGAUGAGGCAAAUUGAGUGUUGUCCUGUCUUCAUUUACCUGACUUUGAAAAUAUGUUUAUAUCUUUGCAUUUAUUAUACUUUUUUGUCAUCAAACAUAUUGCUGCAUUGAUUUUCCCACAUUAAUUUUACCUAGUCUCUGUAAUACAAUUGAUAUAUUAGGUUUUUUUAUACAUACGACUCGUAUUUCUUCAGUAGAAUUAUCCUCAUAUCUUCAUUUCUCUUUCUGCACCAGUAUAAAAUCUGUUUGCCUGCUACUAGUUUUUAGGAAUUACC